rnacentral:rRNA from 1 species
CGGGAGGCAGCAGUAGGGAAUAUUGGGCAAUGGAGGCAACUCUGACCCAGCCAUGCCGCGUGCAGGAUGAAGGCGCUCAGCGUCGUAAACUGCUUUUAUCUGGGAAGAACUGUGGGGAUGCGUCCUUACUUGACGGUACCAGAGGAAUAAGCACCGGCUAACUCCGUGCCAGCAGCCGCGGUAAUACGGAGGGUGCAAGCGUUGUCCGGAUUUAUUGGGUUUAAAGGGUGCGCAGGUGGGUAUUUAAGU